AUUGAACGCUGGCGGCAGGCCUAACACAUGCAAGUCGAGCGGAUGAAGGGAGCUUGCUCCUGGAUUCAGCGGCGGACGGGUGAGUAAUGCCUAGGAAUCUGCCUGGUCGUGGGGGAUAACGUCCGGAAACGGGCGCUAAUACCGCAUACGUCCUGAGGGAGAAAGUGGGGGAUCUUCGGACCUCACGCUAUCAGAUGAGCCUAGGUCGGAUUAGCUAGUUGGUGGGGUAAAGGCCUACCAAGGCGACGAUCCGUAACUGGUCUGAGAGGAUGAUCAGUCACACUGGAACUGAGACACGGUCCAGACUCCUACGGGAGGCAGCAGUGGGGAAUAUUGGACAAAGGGCGAAAGCCUGAUCCAGCCAUGCCGCGUGUGUGAAGAAGGUCUUCGGAUUGUAAAGCACUUUAAGUUGGGAGGAAGGGAAGUAAGUUAAUACCUUGCUGUUUUGACGGUACCAACAGAAUAAGCACCGGCUAACUUCGUG
rnacentral:rRNA from 1 species